GUUAUUAUAGUGUAAUCCUAACACAUUACAUUUUCACUGUAAAAAUAAAGUCAACUUUUAAAAACA
rnacentral:tRNA from 1 species